GGAGAGGUGCCGGAGUUGGUCGAACGGGCCUGACUCGAAAUCAGGUGUGUCCUUUGGGCACCCAGGGUUCGAAUCCCUGCCUCUCCGCCA
rnacentral:tRNA from 1 species